AAUAAAAUAUUGUAUUUUCUGUCACAUAGUCUUUAUCCGUGAAAUAAUCACUCCUUUUUUUUCUUUGAUGAUGAUGAUGCAGCUACAUUUGAUAGAGUAAAAAAAUAUUCAAUUGGUGGUGAAGGCAAAAACGGUAGGAAGACUAAUUUUUCUUGCGGUAGUAUUUUACAAAACUUCACUGCAAUAGCAGUCAAAUGAAUAUGCUCACUGCGGAUCUUAUUGCGACGUAUGAACAAAAAAGGAAACCUGCGGUGCUCCUCCUUCAAAAAACUAGAAAAAAACAUCUAGUAUGUGGUAGCAAUUAAAAAAAUUAACAGAUAAUUCCAAUGCAGUUGCUCAUUGCGGAACUAUUUUAAGAAAGAGAAAAUACCGCAAAUUUGAUGGAUCAUCUUAAAUGGAUCGAUCCAAAUCGGCAGAGAUGAUGAAAUUAACUCAACAUUUUUCGAUGUUGGAUGUAACGCACUGUGGAAUAUGAACUAGAUUCCCAACAAAAACAAACAUUGAACAAGAUUUCUUGAUGAGUUCCAAUAUAUACAACGCAAAAUACAACUGUCGAGCCGCUCGUUUUUUCGAGACGUAAUGCUUCUGAGAAUGUACGAACAUCUUGUCUGUGAGCUCAGGCAGACUUCCCGGCAAAUGAAGCAUACAUAUAUAACAGUUACAAUUCCCGGUCAUUUUUGCAGUAACGCCCAGAAGUAACUCGAUAGCAAACGUAGCUGAAACUCUUUCGAAAAUAUUAAUUAGUAUUGUUAUCUAUAACGAUGCGACUAUGAAAAAUGCGUGU
rnacentral:sRNA from 1 species